UGGGGAAUUUUGGACAAUGGGCGAAAGCCUGAUCCAGCAAUGCCGCGUGUGUGAAGAAGGCCUUCGGGUUGUAAAGCACUUUUGUCCGGAAAGAAAUCCUUGGCUCUAAUACAGUCGGGGGAUGACGGUACCGGAAGAAUAAGCACCGGCUAACUACGUGCCAGCAGCCGCGGUAAUACGUAGGGUGCAAGCGUUAAUCGGAAUUACUGGGCGUAAAGCGUGCGCAGGCGGUUUGCUAAGACCGAUGUGAAAUCCCCGGGCUCAACCUGGGAACUGCAUUGUGACUGGCAGGCUAGAGUAUGGCAGAGGGGGGUAGAAUUCCACGUGUAGCAGUGAAAUGCGUAGAGAUGUGGAGGAAUACCGAUGGCGAAGGCAGCCCCCUGGGCCAAUACUGACGCUCAUGCACGAAAGCGUGGGGAGCAAACAGGAUUAGAUACCCUGGUAGUCCACGCCCUAAACGAUGUCAACUAGUUGUGGGGAUUCAUUUCCUUAGUAACGUAGCUAACGCGUGAAGUUGACCGCCUGGGGAGUAC
rnacentral:rRNA from 1 species